AUUCAUUUCCUUGUCUAAUUCUUUUAGCAUCUUUUUCAUUGCUUUAUCUGACAUGGUAAAGCCAGACCAAUCAUUUUCUGUCUCUAAUGCUGUCUUAAAGUUUUCAAGCUCAUUUUCGAUUUCUUCUGUAACAUCAUUGUCUGUAGCAUCAUCGUCUGUAGCAUCAUCGUCUGCAGCAUCGUCGUCUGUAGCAUCGUCGUCUGUAACAUCGUCGUCUGUAGCAUCGUCGUCUGUAGCAUCGUCGUCUGCAGCAUCGUCGUCAUCGUCGUCUGCAGCAUCGUCGCCAUCGUCGUCUGCAGCAUCGUCGUCUGUGACAUCAUCGUCUGUAACAUCAUCAUCUGUAGCAUCGUCUUCAGCAGCAUCCGUAGCAUCAUCUGCAGCAGCAUCUGCAGCAUCAUCUGCAGCAGCA
rnacentral:lncRNA from 1 species